rnacentral:rRNA from 1 species
GUCAGCUCGUGUCGUGAGAUGUUGGGUUAAGUCCCGCAACGAGCGCAACCCUUGCCCUAUGUUGCCAGCGGGUAAUGCCGGGGACUCGUAGGGGACUGCCGGAGUUAAUUCGGAGGAAGGUGGGGACGACGUCAAGUCAUCAUGCCCCUUACGUCCAGGGCUGCACGCAUGCUACAAUGGCCGGUACAAAGGGUUGCCAACCCGCGAGGGGGAGCCAAUCCCAAAAAACCGGUCUCAGUUCGGAUCGCAGUCUGCAACUCGACUGCGUGAAGUCGGAGUCGCUAGUAAUCCCGGAUCAGCACGCCGGGGUGAAUACGUUCCCGGGCCUUGUACACACCGCCCGUCACACCACGAAAGUCGGCAACACCCGAAGCCGGUGGCCCAACCCGCAAGGGAGGGAGCCGUCGAAGGUGGGGUCGGCGAUUGGGGUGAAGUCGUAACAAGGUAGCC